rnacentral:misc_RNA from 1 species
AACAUCGCGCACCUGCGGGAACCUGCGGAAGGAUCAUUACCGAGUUUACAACUCCCAAACCCCUGUGAACAUACCUAUACGUUGCCUCGGCGGAUCAGCCCGCGCCCUGUAAAAAGGGACGGCCCGCCCGAGGACCCUAAACUCUGUUUUUAGUGGAACUUCUGAGUAAAACAGACAAAUAAAUCAAAACUUUCAGCAACGGAUCU